CCUCCUCCUUUUAUUCUACUCGCACUACCAUUUACCUGAGAGGCUCAAACCACCAUAAAAAAACCUAAAAUGGUUUCUUUCCAUUUCCCUGGAAGAGACGGCCUCAAACCUAGACUUCAAUAAAUUAAAUCAUCUUCUACUCGAUUUUUCAAACCGCGCAAGAAUUUCAUUCCCACUUUGCUAUCAAUUGUUCACUUUUAAACCCUAAAUCGUGUUACCCCUAGAUAUCCAUUAAAAUCAAAUCAAAACUUAACCAUAUGUCUGGAAUUUCCUCAAUCUUGACAAUGAAAAGAUCAUUUUAUAAACACUCCCAUACAGAGGGCAGAAGAAGAAAAGGAGAAUAAGAGAAAGUGUCGGCGGCAGGGGUUCUUCUCAUCAGAGGAAGAUGAACUUCUGGGACGAGUUUUCAAGAAGGAUUACUGGCUAGGCAAAGUUGAUAAAGACAAAGCGGUACCUUAAUAGCUUAUGAAGCAGAAAGUACUAUCCAAACAGGUCUGAAGAAAGUCUCCAACAGGUCUGGCAACAGACAGGGCGAAAAGCUUUGGGCACCAGAAAACAAUGUGAAAAGUUACCAUAGAGAUUUCUGGUUCAAAUACAUCUUCCUUAUUGCUUUAAGGUACCAUUAUCUGCAUGGGUUUGCUUUUCUAUGCUGAUGAUUUUCCCACACACAACUUCAUUGUCAAUCAAACUAUUUUGUAGCUCAUGAGACUCAGAAAACACCAAAUCAAGUCAAGUGAUGCUAAAAGGGAACUAGCUCGUUAGUAAAAAGAUCAAGGUAAAUGCUAAUGAAGUUGUCAUCCACUUUUCACGCAUAUACUACAUGAAGAUUUUGGGAUACCUGAUUCAAUCCUCCAUUAAAGUUUAAAGCCAAAUGCGAAGAUGUCUUAUCAGAAUCUGUUAGAGUUCCAGAGAAACCAGUUCAUGUCAGUCAUGUUUUAUUUUGUUUCAAUAUCGCGAACUUACUAUUAUAUUAUCUGAUUCAGAAGCUUAAUUGUGUUGGAAUCAUCUUGAUGUAUUUAGCUUUCUUUAAUGAAUGAAUGAAAGCUUUUCAUA